GACGAACGCUGGCGGCGUGCUUAACACAUGCAAGUCGAACGGAAAGGCCCUGCUUUUGUGGGGUGCUCGAGUGGCGAACGGGUGAGUAACACGUGAGUAACCUGCCCUUGACUUUGGGAUAACUUCAGGAAACUGGGGCUACUACCGGAUAGGAGCUCCUGCUGCAUGGUGGGGGUUGGAAAGUUUCGGCGGUUGGGGAUGUACUCGCGGCUUAUCAGCUUGUUGGUGGGGUAGUGGCUUACCAAGGCUUUGACGGGUAGCCGGCCUGAGAGGGUGACCGGCCACAUUGGGACUGAGAUACGGCCCAGACUCCUACGGGAGGCAGCAGUGGGGAAUAUUGCACAAUGGGCGGAAGCCUGAUGCAGCAACGCCGCGUGCGGGAUGACGGCCUUCGGGUUGUAAACCGCUUUCGCCUGUGACGAAGCGUGAGUGACGGUAAUGGGUAAAGAAGCACCGGCUAACUACGUG
rnacentral:rRNA from 1 species